rnacentral:misc_RNA from 1 species
AUGAAUUAUCCUUUUGAGUUCCGCAUUGUGCGUUAGAGAAAUUUGUUUUGACUUUUCUAUUUUUCUUAUCAUUUGGAGGAAAUUGGAAUACAUGAAAUUGAAACCAAAGCUAGGUAUGAUUAAUUUCUGAUUUUUCCAACUAUUGGAAACUUAUUACAUAUACAAGCCGCACCAGUGAAUAUUGAUGUAGAACUGGUCUCAAGCAGAAUUGAAUGGCAAAAAAUGAUCCAUA